UACGGGGGGGGCAAGCGUUGUUCGGAAUUACUGGGCGUAAAGGGCUCGUAGGCGGCCAACUAAGUCAGACGUGAAAUCCCUCGGCUUAACCGGGGAACUGCGUCUGAUACUGGAUGGCUUGAGUUCGGGAGAGGGAUGCGGAAUUCCAGGUGUAGCGGUGAAAUGCGUAGAUAUCUGGAGGAACACCGGUGGCGAAGGCGGCAUCCUGGACCGAUACUGACGCUGAGGAGCGAAAGCAUGGGGAGCGAACAGG
rnacentral:rRNA from 1 species